ACCCGCGGCCCAAGUGGUGGUCGAUAUUAUUGAGCCUAAAACGUCCGUAGCCGGUCUUGUAAAUCCUUGGGUAAAUCUACCAGCUCAACUGUUCGAAGUCCGGGGAGACUGCAAGACUUGGGAUCGGGAGAGGUGAGAGGUACUUCUGGGGUACAUCAGAGUUGAAGGAACCCGACGAGGAAAGGCGGAGCCGAGGGGGACACACGAAAACAUACACGAGGGUGAGGGGCGAACCUGAGGUUUCUUGCCUG
rnacentral:rRNA from 1 species